UGGAAAUUACUUUUUCAGACUUAGAAGGUGCAGGUUCCUAGAGUUCUUAUUCACCAUCCUGAGGACACCAGGGGAAUAAAAAGGAUUGCAGGGCCUCGUCCUUCUUGACCUUCUCCCCCUCUGAUUUCCUGACUGUCUUCUCAGUGGUCCUGAUGUCUUCUAUAAUGACUCGAUGUUUUUAGGAAUCAGAGUCCUGGACACAGAGACACAUCCAGGUUUGGCACCAGGCUUGUGUGAGUUCUUUUCUAUUUUUUUAAUGAAGAAGAAGGAAGAACAUAAACAAGUGUAAGUGGAAAGCAUUUUUUUUCCUUCUAGAUCACAUAUGUGACAUUUUACAGGGAUUUCUUCUAGGUUGUCAAUACAUUAAAGACAACUAAAAAGAUUAUUACAGGGAAUUCUUAAAGUCUUAAAGGAAGAUAGUCUCACAGGAGGAUGAGAUCUCUGACAAAUCAAUACGUUAAUUAUUGUCUGAAAAGGACGUGGAGCAAGAUUUCCCCCUCAUUUUCAUUCUUCAGUUAGAGCUUCUGAUCAACAUAAGGAUCAUUCACCCAACAAAUAUUUACUGAGUAAUCCCUGAAUGUCAGGCAUGAGUCUAAGAGCGUCACACUCAUAUCUUACUACGUUCCACAGCAACCUUCUGAGAUGCCUGCAAUCUUCACUUGCAUCAAGAUAACAAAAGUAAGGAAAGACUGAGGAAACAUGCUAGGUUGAAGGAGACUGAGGACAUAUAACCACACAAUGCAAGAUACUAUUUUGAAUUGGAUACUGGACCGGAGGGAAAACUAUUGCUAUUAAGGACAUUACUCUGACAAUUGGUAAAAUUUAAAAUUGGUAAAAUUUAAAUAUGGACUGUGGGUUAGAUAACAGCAUUUUAUAAAUGUUUAAUUUCCUCAUUUUCAUUAUUAUAGUAUGGUGGUUAUGUAGAAAAUUAUAAAGUGAAUAUGACAAGAUGUUAAUUUGUGAAUGUAGUAAAGGGUAUAUGGGAGGUAUUCGUACUAUUCGUGCAACUUGGUAGUAAGUUUGAAGUUAUUUCAACAUAAAAAGAAUAGUCCAGCCAUGUUUAUUCAUACCUGUAAUCCCAAGACUUUGGGAGGCCGAGGCAGGAGGAUCUCUUCAGCCCAGGAGUUCGAGAAUAGCCUGGGCAACACAGUGAGACAUCAGGUCUACAAAAAUAUCAAAAAAUUAGUCAGGCAUUGUGGCAUACACCUGUAGUCCCAGCUACUCAGGAGGCUUAGGUGGGAGGAUUGCUUAAGCCCAGGAAGUCAGGGCUGCAGUGAGUUGUGAUUGCACCACUUAAGCCUGGGUGACAGAGUGAAAAAAUAAAAAAUAAAAAAAAUUUAUAUUGUUAGAUUUUAUUUUUAGAAUAGUAUUGGAAAUCAUUCAAAUAGCUCUUUUGCCUCUGUGGGAACUUUAGGGACUUGGGGAGCACUAACAUAUAAGAUACUCACCUACCAGUGUCACAUAGGUAUAAAGAGCAUGAAUGAUACAUAACCUUUUAUCACAUUAUAUAGGUUUUGUGUGUUGUCAGGAAUUUGAUGUCAAGGCUUCCCUUUAUGACUAAUUCUUAUGUGUCAUUCACCUAGAAGCAAUAAUCCUUGGAUUGGUGUGCAGUAAAUUUGGUGUGACAACAAUGUUGUCAUUGGUAGACCCUGAUGAGACACAGUCCAGCUCUCUUUCUGGCCUGAGGCCCUUGUUCCUCCUCCUGCUGACAGCGUGCUAUGAGUGUUAGCCAUCCACAGCCCAGACUCUCUCAGGGACUGCCCUCUGCCUAAGGAAGCUGCGUCACCCAAGCCAUGGCCCCUCCCUGAGGAGAAGCCAUCUCUAACCACUGAGGAGGCGGACUAUACCUGGCUUCCUUGCCUCAAGUGACAAACUCGGUAGGGCCAUCCUAGCUCCACAGCUGUCUGUGGGGUUGGCCGAGGCCUCCGUUGAACUGCAUCAGAGUUCAUCUGCUGCCCAGCCCUGCUUCUCUCACUCCUCUCCCCUCAUAGGGAUGAUCCUGAGGGCACUCCCUGAGAGACAACCUGCAAGCUCAUCUCCACCCACAAUCUGUUUCCCAGGGAAGCCCGUAGUCAGCACAUGCCUUCUCCAAACCCAUCAACUCACCUCCCGAACCCCAGGCUGCCCGACGACAUUGCUGCUGCUUCCUAUGGAAUGCAGACAGGAACAUUUCUGAUCCAUAAGGAACAUGAAUUUUUAAAUUCCGAUUAAAAAAAAUCCCAACACAUGUAUAGGGCCUAAAAGAAAUGAGUUAGUUCAACUCCCUACUGCCAAAUUUGGCAAAAAAAAAAAAAAAAAAAAACCAACAAAACAAAAGGGUAUUUCUCAGACCCUCUUGUGAUACAAUGUCCCUUUUCAGGACAAAUUGAUGUUUAAUGAUUUUGUUUACUUAAAAAAAAUUUAACAUAUACAAAAUUAGAAUAAUAUAAAGCCCCAUCGAUUUCCCUCACCUGGCUCCAACAAUUAUCCGUGACCAAUCUAUCUGCUUUGAUACCUCAACUAUUCCCACAUUAUUUGAAGCAUAUUCCAGAUAUAGUAUUAUUUCAUCUGUUUUUUAGUAUCUUUAGAAGAGAAUGAACACUUUGAAAAAACAUAAUCCUCAUAGCAUUAUGUAAAAUAUUACAAAUUAGUAAAACAAGUUCUUUAAUAUCAUCAAAUAUCCUUUCAGUGUUGAAAUUUCCAGUUGUUUCGUAAAUAUUAUAAAAGUUGCUUUGUUUAUACAGUUUGUAUAUCUGAAUCAAAAUCCAAAUAAGGUCUGCGUAUCAUGAUUGGUUGAUAGUCUCUGAAGUUUCCCCUCCACCUACCUCUUUUUCUCUCCCUUUCAGUUGCUUUGUUGAAGAAAGCUGUAGAGUUUCCCGCAGUCCACAGACUGGAAACCUCUUCUAUUGCUUAACACGCCAAUUGGCCGUUGGACCUGGACACUUCAUCAGAUUCAAAGUUUUUUGGUUCUUUUUUUUUUUUCCUGUAUUUGGCAAAACCACUUUUUAUGUGGGAUUGCGCUUUUUCAUUAGGAUGCACCUAAGGCCAAGUUGUUUUCCUUUUGGUAAAGCUCACAGCUGUGGGUGGCCAAUGCCUGGGUAUAAUCAUUCAUUAGGAAUUAUGAAUUUUCUCAUUCUGUUUUAAUUUAUUAGCUGGAUUACUUUUUAUGAAAGGAAACUUCUCCUUGUCUAUUAUUUGAUGACCUGGAGACUCAGUUUGCAUUAAAAAGUUAGAAUAGGGCCGGGUGCCCUGUAAUCCCAGCACUUUGGGAGGCCAAGGUGGGCAGAUCACCUGAGGUCGGGAGUUUGAGACCAGCCUGACCAACAUGGAGAAACCUUGUGUCUACUAAAAAUACAAAAUUAGCCGGGAGUGGUGGUGCAUGCCUGUAAUCCCAGCUACUUGGGAGGCUGAGGCAGGAGAAUUGCUUUAACCCGGGAGGAGGAGGUUGCAGUGAGCCGAGAUCGCACCAUUGCACUCCAGCCUAGGCAACAAGAGCAAAACUCUGUCUCAAAAAAAAAAAAAAAAGUUACAAUAAAUGCUAGAUUCUUUGCCUGGAUUUACCAAUUUUUAAAAUAAUUUGUUAGUUCCCCAUCAUCUACCCAGUAUGACCAAUUAAUUUUCAUUUUGUUUAACAUUAGUAUGAACUUUAUGCAUUCAUAAUGUAUUUCAUCAUAGCCAUUGCAGUUAUUAUCUUUAUUGAUGCUUAAGUUGCUCUGUCUUUGGUCAGUAGAAGCCUCUUCAAGUUAGUUCAUGAGUCCUUUUGCCAUGGCCCUAGUCAUCUUCGUACCUUUCUUGCUAUGUGGUAUUAAUAAGAGGUGCCAGGCUCAUCUUGUACAUUUCCUGCCCGAGACCUGCACUCAGUCAUUUCUCUAAGAAGUCCUGGUUCUUUUUGAAUAGUAUUUCAAAACCAUCAUAUAGGCUCAAGGAGGAGUGCCCCGUAAUUUUUUUAACUUUUAUUUGAAAUUUUAUCAUGUAUAUUUAUUAUUUUAUUUAUUCCACACAAAUUAUACAUAAGUACACAGGUGAAAAAAAAGUCAAAGUAAAAAAUUUUCCCACGCCUUUCCCAUGCUACUUCCUCUGCCAGAGAUAACUAUAGUUAGCAAUUUGUUGUGAAUUCUUCUAGAGUUUUUCUUAGAUAGUAUUGUUACCUAAAUAAGACUAAGGCACUUAAGAUUCCAGAUUAUAUUUUAAUCUAUUUGGAAUAUUCAAAGAAACAGAAGUCUGAGAGAAAAAUAUAAUGGACUGCAAUUUAAAUCUUCUUUGGGAUCAACAGCCAGAGCCUCCGCAUUGCCAACUCCAGGGGGUGCUGUGUACAUUCAGGUCUCUGUGACUGAUGUCCCCUGGCGUUUGCAACACAGCAAACCUGCUAACAAACCAAUAGUACAAUGAGCAAGGGGUAUGAACACACAGAAAAGAAGAUGGUUCAUAAAUAUAUGAAAAGAUGUUCAAAUUUGCUUUUGACAAGAGAGUGCAAAAUAAAACCACCAAAAUAUUAUUUUUCAUCUCUCGGAUUGGCAAGGAUUAAAAUGCUUGUUAACAUACCCUUAUUCAGUGUUGGUAGAACGACUGCAUUUUCAGCAGUUUGGCAAUAUGUAUUCAAUUAUAAAUUUAUUUGCAGUUGCUAAUUUAAAACACUUCUAAAAAUAUACCCUACACAUACACUUGAGUGUUUGGGAAAUGAUGUAUGUAUAAGGCAGGGUUUCUUAACUCUAAGUAAAAUUUGUCAUUUCCUUUAAUUAUGAAAGCAAGCAGGAAACCAUGAUAGUAUCAGCCUAUGCCUUUGUUACCAAUAAAAUCACAGAUAUUUUACAUCACAUUACAAUUGUUGCAGAUAUUUUGAAACAGCAUUUAUGCUCACUCAUAUUUUGAAAUUACAAGAAUUUGAUCCACUGCUAGAUCUUAUUAAGUUUUAAUAAAUAAGUACAUAUAUUUCUAAAUAAAUGUUUAUAUAAAGAAUAUUUUGAUACCUAUAUAUCAGCAUAAUUGGUUUCCUUUUAAUCCUGAGAAUUUUGCAUGCACUUGAAAAUAUUUUAUUAAGAAGAAAUUAAUAGGCUUCACCAGACUGCCAAAGGGGUUCAUGACACAAAAUAAAUUAAAAAUUUACAGCAUCGUGUAUAUAAUAGCAAAUGAUCAAAGCAACCAAAAGUGGAAACUGACCAAAAACCAUUUGUACCUUGCUAUAGUGAAUACUCUGCAGCUGAAAAAAAAAAGGAAUGAAGAAUCUGCCUAAUAAAAUGAAACAAUAUCCAAGAUAUUUUACAGAGAGUAAAGCAGGAUACAAAAUAAUUUAUGUAGCAAGCUGCUACUUGUUUAAAAAAAAUGAAAGAGAGAGUGAAUAUAUACAAAUGUCUGUUUGCUUGUAUGUGCAUAAAAUAGCUCUGGAGGACACACAGUAAACUGAUAAUAUUGGUGGCUUCUGGGGAUGAGAACUGGGUGGUUUGGGGCUGGAGUGUUAUGGAGACUUUUUCCUGAUAAAACCUACAGGACCUUUAAAAAUUUUGAACCUUGCAAAAGUAUAAUCUAUUCAAAAAUUAAAUUUAAAAAAGGGAACACUUAAGAACUCCUUACUGGAGUCUGUACAGGAGAUUCAUACAUAGCCCCAAGGCAACACCUGGUCGAGUCCUGUCUCUCCUCCUCUGUGGAGCCUCAGCCUGCUCUGCAGCAAGCCUUGUAGCUUCUAUGCCCUCAAUCUCCUAUUCUGAACCCCCAAUCAUAACUUUCUCUCUAAGGCUUCUUUGGCUCUUGCCUUUUCCAACACCUUUAGCAUUUUCUCAUUAGCCUAGUCUAAUGCAGAACAAGCGCACUCCAGCCCUGUCUCUCUAUUUUUGCUGCACACAAAUUGUUACAAGUCAACUAGGCAUUGGUGGAACUGUUCUUAAUGGGCAAUGAAGUAUGUGAAUAUUCACAAGUUUUUUGUUUCAAAUAUUUUUUAUGUUUUCAUAAUAUAAUUAUUUUAAAAUAAAAUCCUAUUCAUAGAAUGAGGGUAAAUUUUUAGUUUGUUGGUCACAAGUGGGGCCUAAUCACUACUAGUUGUAAGAGGUCAUAAAUAUUAUGGGAUUAGAUCACUGAAAUAUUUCAUCUUCCCAAAACUCCUCUGAUAAAUUUUCCACUCUUUCAAAAAUGAAGCCAAGUUUCAGCACAGUACAGUGAUGACCACCCUUGUCCAAUACAUCUUUGGCAAUAUAGGGUAAAUUUAUACUAUAAAAGUAAAAUAUUUUGAAGAAAACGUUAAUGCCAAGCCCUGAGUGAUGAUACUAGCAUGAGUAAUGAUUGCCAAAAUUAUGCAAGUUUCAAAACAAAUUUAAGCAGGGUUUAUAAAUAUUUGUUUAGAGCCUUAUAACAAAUGCUGACUCUUCUUGAGAUUUGUGUCAGCAGAAGGAAGCCUGCUAUAUUUUUGGAAAAUAUUUUGUUUAAAAGGUUCUUUGUAUGAUCAACAAAACUAUAGCAAGGUCUUUCCAAAAGAAUCUGCAUGAACAAAUAAUUUAAAAUUAAAAUAUAACCUUAUUAUUUUUACGGCGGACUCUGGGAAAAUAUCUGAGUUCUCAACAGAAACUGCCAGUUUGUUGUUGAGUGAGAGAUGUGUUUUCUUUGGAGUCAUGAACAGGAUGAAGAAAACUGGGACAACUGCCAAGACUGGGCUUUGGGUAUCUCCAUGCUGCAGAACAGAACAGGGCAGCCAGUGGAUGUGGUGGGGGUGGGAUUUAGAGAGGAGAGGGAUAAAAUUUCCUGUGGCUUCUGAAGAGCUGAAUAACAAGGUCAGUUAUUAAGAAAGGAAUAACUGGUAUUUCCAGCUUCUUUUCUCAUCCAUGACACCUAGUACAAAAGUUUUCCCAGAUUGCGUUCACAAAGGAGGGGCAUGGAGGUUAAGUCUUCGGAGUUGAAGACACAGAAGCUACCCAAUUUAAGGAAACAUUUGAUUUUCCUCAGGCUAGGAGUGGGGAGUGUGCACAGGAAUCAGGCAGGUUUCUGGAAGGGCCUUGGCUUCUUCAUACACGUGUGCUAGCCAGGAAUUAUUUUGGGAUGUGCUUUAGAAGCUCAACACUUAACGCCAAGCUCACAGGAGACAUUGAGAUCCUGAAGGUCUCUGUGAACCUGUGUGUGGUCAAGGAGUGGACCACCCUGAGGUGCAUCUCUGGUCUGGCUGGAACAUAUGGCCUGUCCAAUGCUUUCAAACACUGGUGAGCCACCGAAGACUCUGACAAGGAACCUGCAAGCUUCUGUCACUCCAAACACUAGGAGAUUUUUGGAUGAACACCAAAGCCGCCAAAUAUUACUGAGAUUGAAUUUUCUACCGUCACAUGAGUGAAAGUACAGAACUAAUUUUUCUGUCACAUUUACACACCAGAAAGUGGCACAGUGACAUUCGUACCUGCUAUAUUGGAAGUAUUUCUAUGCAGUCAAGUUUAAAGUUCACCUUCCCUGGGCUACUACUGCUCCCAUGCAAACACACAUGCACGCACACACUUCUGUCAACAUCUUAGAAGUAAGAUCGGCUGGGGCUGGCUAACCUCCCUACCCUUCUUUACAUACCCUUCAGUCUUCAUGUUGCCUGUCUCAUUUGUCUCCUUUUACUUGUUGGCCUCGUUCAUUUUUCAUUCAAUUAAUUCUGCAGAAAAUCUAAAGAACCUAAUAUUUGCCUGUAACUCAAGGGCAUAAUUUCGGUCUCAAAAUGGUCACGGUCUAGAGUUUGAUGUUGAGUCGAGGGUAGAAGGGUAUGGUGGGAGGACAUGAGAGCAGUGCCUGCCCAUGGAAGGAGGACAGGGGAUUUUAGCAGUACAGAGGAGUAGGUAACCCAAUCUGGAACAAGAGUAGGGGUCAGGUGAAAAUUUUACAAGAAACUGAUGACUUAGUAUUAGCAGAUCUUAAGUUGCAGAGAGUAAAUAGGGACAAGAAGAGCAUUCUAGGGAGAUAGAUUAGUCAGGAAAAUUCAUGGGGACAUGAAAAAUAUGGUCUGCUUCCUGAACCUCAGAGUUUAGCAUUGUAAAAAUAUAAGCUCCAGGGGGAGCAACCAAACACUCUUUCUCCCCAUUCUUGUGCGGUUUCUAAACAUGCUCUGCAAACUGCCCUUAAUAGUCAUCUAACUUAUUUUUCCACCUCUCAAGAGUCUGCCCAGUGUGGAUCCAUGUAAGAAGCAGCAGCAAACCAAGCAAAAUGAUUUCUAGCAGCAAAAUGAAAGACUCAACUAGACUGUUGGGAGAGUUUUAUCAGACAAUUCCUGAGCUUCUCCUGCUAUAUAGGAUUAAUCAAUAUAUAUUAAUCAAAUGCCUGGACCCUUUCAUUUCUGUACCUAGAUUAAGAUUUGUAAUAUAAUCGUUUUUUGAGAACAAGCAUAUAUUAACAGAUGUUACUGCAAGAAAUAUAUUAUCUCAUGUGAACAGAUUGAAUGUAUAAUGUAGUGCUUGUCAGUUGAAAAUAAAAUUAUGAAAUUAUUUCAUGCAUAAUUUGAUUACCUAGGCUGACAGGACACAGAGAGUUAGGUCAGGGCAUGGAUUUUCACAUAAACACAAAUGUUGUUUUCAGACUCAAUGCAGAAGGUCUUCUUCAAGGUAAGAUCUUAUCGUUGGCUAAUUCCUCCACAUAGAUAUUCCUUCCCUUUCCACUUUAUUCUGUCUUAAACUGUCAUUCCUUUCAGGAAAUGUCCCAUGAACCAAACUCAUUUUGUUUUCAGCACAACGCUAAUUUUGCCAAGAAUAAAAAGGGACAUCAUUUCUAUGAAUGUUUAUUGCACAUGUGCUAUCUGUCAAGAAUUCAUUCAAUCAAGUAAAUAAAUGGAAGAGAUGAUGAAAUUAAGGAAUUGUUGCCCUAACAUCUCUCUUCCUUAAAAAAAAAAAAGUUUUGAAAAUUUUGUUCCUAGGGAAUAAUUUAAGAUUUUCAGUGAAUGUCUUUUUAGAGCAAGUUUUUAAAACUUUUAUUUGCACUGUGGACCCAUGUGGUAGCAGAGUGACACCUGUACCCCUCUCAGAGUAAUGUUUUUAAAGGCAUAAAAUAGAAUACAUAAGAUUCUAUUUGAAAUAGACAAUUGAAAUAGAAAAAUAAUUAUAUGGAAAUACAAUUAUCAAAAUGACUCUUAAAACUUCAUUAUAAAAUAACAUAUGUGUGUUUCUUAACAUAUUAAAUAAUAAGAUCCAGCUACCGUAUUUUGAAGUUGUGAUGAGUGCAAAGGAUAGUUUCAAGGUACAGUUGUGCAUUGCUUGAUGGUGAAGCACCAUCCUGAGUACAUCAGGGUACAUCCUGAGAAAUGUGUCAUUAGGCAAUUUUGUCACUGUGCAAAUAUCCACAAAGUGUACUUACACAAACCUAUGAUGAUAUAGCCUACUACACAACUGGAUGUAUAGUUUAGACUAUUGUUCCUAGGCUGCAGCAAGUUACUGUACUGAAUACUGUAAGAAAUUGUCACACAACAGAAGGCAUUUGUGUAUCCAGACAUAGAAAAUGUACAGUAAACAUAUAUAAUCUUAUGGGACCACUGUUGCAUAAGCAGUCUGUAGUUAACUGGAAUUUUUAUGCAGUGCAUUACUAUAUUUAAAAUUAUGUGAUAGGAAAAUAUAUUGUAUUUAUAUUGGUGACAUACUUAUAGGAAGAGCUAAUAAUUGCCAUGGUUUGGAGUCUAAAUUCAUAACUGAGAGAAAUGCUAGAAGUUCAAGAAAUCAAAAACAGGAAUUUUUUUCUUCAUCCAGGCCCAUGGACUGCCUGAAUUCUAUCCCUGGACCCAAAGAACCCUUGUUUUCAGGGGCCCAAGAUCAACAUAUUGACUCAAUUUCUGCCAUUAAUAUAGAGAUGACCCUAAUGCGAUCAAUUUCUUAACAAGAAGGCAAGGAGCUUCUUAAUCCUUGAUUAUAAGAUAUGAGAAGGAAGAGGAGGUUUACUAUUGUGUUGUCCCUCUAAGAUGCUUCACUGCAAACUCAUUCUGCACUCUCUCCUACCAUAAUCCAUUCUAACUAUUUCAGAAUUUACUUUUUAAAAAGUUUUAACCCAGAGGCAGCCCAGAAGAAUGAAACAACCAUGAGCUUGACAGAGGCCUCUUAAGCCCCAGCUUCAUCUCCUGCGUGACCUUGGUAUGUCCCUUAACCUUGAUUGUCAGUUUAUUCACCAUAAAACAGGUGCAAUUAUGCCUACGUAGCAGUGUCAUAGUGAUGUUUAAACAUGAUGACAAUUAUGAAAAUGAUUUGUAAGCUACGAAGAGCUGUGCAGUCUUUUCUAUGUCUUUUUCUCACUAUAGUACAGGACUAUGGGAUAAGAGAAAGGCAAAGCUAAUGACAGUACAUUAAGGAACAAGAGCCCAGGUUUGAUUGGUACAGAGCAUGAGAAAAGCAGAGAAUAUUCCCUACACACUGGAGGAUCUCAGAGCUUUUUUCCCUGCUACUUCAUGGCUGUAUAAAAGCAUUCUGCCCCACCAGCCCUCACAAGAACAACAAAAGUCCACGUUUGCUUUAGCCACCCAAGUGUUCAUCCUUCCAUCCACCCACAGUCAUGAGAGGAUCUUAGAAAUGGCUUUGCAGGUGCCAACCAAUUGGAAUUACAUGGGCAAAUGAUCCAAAUAGACAUAUUAAUAUCUCCAAAGACAGACAAAUGACCACAAAUAUAUAUAUGAAAAAAUUCUCAACAUCAUUAAUCAUCAGAGAGAUGCAAAUCAAAACCACAAUGAAAUAUCACCUCACCCCUGUUAGAACGGCUAUUGUGAAAACAACAAAAAAUAACAAAUGCUGACAAGGAUGCAGAAAAGGGGGAACCCUUAUACACUGUUGGUGGGAGUGUGAAUUAGUAAACCCAUUGUGGAAAAUAGUGUGGAGGUUUCUCAAAAAACUAAAAAUAGAACUACCAUAUGAUCCAGCAAUUCUACUGGAUCUACCUAAUUCUAUUAGGUAGUUAUCCAAAGGAAAGAAGUCAGUAUAUCAAAGGGAUAUCUGCAUUCCCAUGUUUAUAGCAGUACUAUUCCCAAUAGCCAAUGUAUGGAAUCAACCAAAAUGUCCAUCAACAGAAGAAUAGAAAGAAAAUGUGAGAUACACAAUGGAAUACUACUUGGCCAUAAAAAAGAAUAAAAUUCUGUCAUUCAUGGCAAUAUGGAUGAGCCAGGAAGACAUUAUGUUAAGCAAAAUAACCCAGGCACAGAAAGAUAAGUACUGCAUGUUCUUACUCAUGUGUGGGGGCUAAAAAAAUUCUGUGCUAAUAGAAGUAGAGAGUAGAAUUUUGACUAUUACAGGCUGGGAACGGUAGGGGGCUGGGGAGGUUGGGGAGAGGUUGGUUAACAGAUACAAAAUUACAGCUAGAUAGAAGGAAGGAAUUCUGGUGCUCUACAGCACUGCAAGGGGA
rnacentral:lncRNA from 1 species